rnacentral:rRNA from 1 species
CAGCACCUCAAGUGGUCAGGAUGAUUAUUGGGCCUAAAGCAUCCGUAGCCGGCGCUGUAAGUUUUCGGUUAAAUCUGUACGCUCAACGUACAGGCUGCCGGGAAUACUGCAGCGCUAGGGAGUGGGAGAGGUAGACGGUACUCGGUAGGAAGGGGUAAAAUCCUUUGGUCUAUUGAUGACCACCUGUGGCGAAGGCGGUCUACCAGAACACGUCCGACGGUGAGGGAUGAAAGCUGGGGGAGCAAACCGGAUUAGAUACCCGAGUAGUCC